rnacentral:ncRNA from 1 species
CCUGCUGUUUCGUCAGCAGUAGCCUAUGGGCAGAUGCACCUUAAUUGUAUUAAGCUGCCCAGACAAGGUAGCCCGCCCGAAAGGGGCAGUUUGAACCGUGAGGGGAAAACAAUCGUCGUCAGUAUCAGACGGCGCG